rnacentral:rRNA from 1 species
UUGCGGUUAAAAAGCUCGUAGUUGGAUUUCUGUUGAGGACGAUCGGUCCGCAUUUUAGUGCGUGUAUCUGAUUCGGCCUUGGCAUCUUCUUGGGAAACGUCUCUGCGAUUGACUUCGUAGGCGGUAUUCAAGACUUUUACUUUGAGGAAAUUAGAGUGUUUCAGGCAGGCUUGCGCCUUGAAUAUAUUAGCAUGGAAUAAUAAUAAAAGACCUGGGUCUUAUUAUUGGUUUAGGACCGAGGUAAUGAUUAAUAGGGAUAAUUGGGGGCAUUCGUACUAACGCGUCAGAGGUGGAAUUCUUGGAUUGCGUUAUGACGAACUAAUGCGAAAGCAUUUGCCAAGGAUGUUUUCAUUGAUCAAGAACGAAAGUGUGGGGAUCGAAGAUGAUUA